CAUGCAUGUCUCCGAUAUAGUAGCUCGAUCCUCGAAUCUGCGAACGGCUCCGUAUAUCUGUUAUCACCCACCGCCACUCACUGGUAUCCGGAUAUCCUCGGUAAUUCUGAGGCUAAUACGUGCACACCCGGGGCGCCCGCCCGCGCCGCAAGGCGCGGGAGGGCGGCUAACCCCGGUCUUGUCAUGGAACCAACGGCGGGCGGCCCCGGCCGCCCGCCCGCGUGACCGCAGACAAGUCGACCUGACCGGGCUGAUUGCAGGGGCCCGGCGCAGGCGAUGGAUACCAGACCUAUCAACUAGACGCCCAGGCCUUUCCUGGGCGUGGUGAUAACGGGUACAGAGGAUCAGGGUUCGGUCCUGGAGAGGUAGCCUGAGAGAUCGCUACUACUUCUAAGGAAGGCAGCAGGCGCGCAACGUUCCCAAUGGGGGCACCCUGAGGACGUGAAGGGGCAUAUCAAUGCUCGGCCGCUAAGGCUGGGCAAUUGAAAUGGGGGACCUCUAAACCCCACACCGAGUAACAAUUGGAG
rnacentral:rRNA from 1 species